rnacentral:rRNA from 1 species
AUUGAACGCUGGCGGCAGGCUUAACACAUGCAAGUCGAGCGGGGUGAUGGUGCUUGCACUAUCACCUAGCGGCGGACGGGUGAGUAAUGCUUAGGAAUCUGCCUAUUAGUGGGGGACAACAUUUCGAAAGGAAUGCUAAUACCGCAUACGUCCUACGGGCGAAAGCAGGGGAUCUUCGGACCUUGCGCUAAUAGAUGAGCCUAAGUCGGAUUAGCUAGUUGGUGGGGUACAGGCCUACCAAGGCGACGAUCUGUAGCGGGUCUGAGAGGAUGAUCCGCCACGCUGGGAGGGAGACACGGCCCAGACUCCUCCGGGCGGCAGCAGUGGGGAAUAUUGGACAAUGGGCGCAAGCCUGAUCCAGCCAUGCCGCGUGUGUGAAGAAGGCCUUAUGGUUGUAAAGCACUUUAAGCGAGGAGGAGGCUACUGAGACUAAUACUCUUGGAUAGUGGACGUUACUCGCAGAAUAAGCACCGGCUAACUCUGUGCCAGCCGCCGCCGUAACAC